GCUUUUCAGCUAGUAGCCAAACAUUUUUUCAUAAAAGUUGGGUCAAAUCCAGCUGACAAAGUGUUUUGAACUGUAUGUGAUUGUCAUGAGUAGUAUGUCCCCAUAUUGUUUAGCUUUGGCGGAAGGACCAUCUGAUGAAGACAAGUCGGGAGGACCAACUGUUGGACAAGUUACCCAAUUCAUUCCAGAGAUUGUCCUGUCUGAAGAUGAGUGCAAGGAAGCGAUGUCACUGAUGAAACAUUCGGCUGACGUGGACAUGGUCAUCAAAGAGAUGAAGCUGACAUUUGCCCAUCGGCAUAACAUGGUCCUGGACCCACAGCAGUCAAGCAACAUUCUAUCUUAUUUUCCUCGUUUUAAAGACAUCAAAGGCUUGGUUGAACAGGAUUUUGUUCUAUUGUUUGGAGAGGAUGUAUCGGGCAAGUUUCUGGAGAAGUAGCCAACCACAUUCAAAAAGAAGAUCAUCCAACAAUGCAGAAAGCUUCCCUCCAUCACUGAGCUUGAGAAACUCCUGAUGGCAGCUGACCCUCCUGAGGAUGGGGCUGAAGUGAACGUUGACUUUGGUUGGGACAAUGACCUCUCAUCGAUUUUGCUGCUCUUACACUUGAUCCCACCGACU